CCCCGCCCCGCGCCCUACGUCGGGUUCAGUGGCGUCCCUGGCCAGCCCCACGCUGAUCAUACGCCAUGUGGCACUGUGGCGCGCGGCGGGGCUGUGUGCGCUGAGGCUGCUGAGCAUUGGAGACGGGAUCUUGCUCUCUUGCCCAGGCUGGUUUUAAACUCCUGGGCUCAAGUGAUCCCCCUCCUCAGCCUCGCACACUGCUGGGCUUACAAUUGUAAGCCAUCUCAUCCAGACAGGCACACCGCAGAGCGUGGCGAUGGAACAGUAACCGGGCUUGUGAGAGGGCUGUACAGUAUCAACUAGGAGACAAGAUCCACGGAUUUACUGUCAACCAGUGACAUCUGUUCCCGAGCUGUUCCUGACGGCAGUGAAGCUCAGCCACGAUGACACAGGAGCCAAGUAUUUACACCUGGCCAGAGAAGACACGAAUAAUCUGUUCAGGUACAUGGUGCAUUGUAAGAACAUGGUCUUGAAUGUUUUAUUUAAAUCAGGGAUGUCCAGUCUUUUGCAGAGAUGCAAAGAAAUGCAGUAGCUGACAGACACAGGAUGGCUCUGGGAGAUGCAGAAGGAGCAUGUCACCCAAAAUAGAGCCAAAUGGGUAUCCUUAAGGAAGGAGCAAAGGGGCUGAAGAAGGGAUUUGUCAUGAGAGAUGGGACAGGAAGUUCUCUAGAGGCAGAGGGAGAGCAUGAGAAUGUCAGGAAGAGACAGGGAUUCUCGCACAUCUGGGAAGCUGACAAUUCAUCAGCAUGGCCACGAGGAAAAUAAGGAGAAGCGGAAAUAAUAGAUGAGGCUGGAUAUAGAAGCAGGGUUCAAGCUGUGUCUAUUGUGGUAAAGAGUUGUGAUUCUAUCCGGAAGGCAAUAGGUAGCAUUCCAAACAAAGAUCUUUUAAAACGAGUCAGAAAAUAUUUUCUGCAAAGGACUAAAUGUUAAACAUUUUAAGUUUUCCAAGCCAUAUGGUCUCUCUGUGAACAAUUUAGCUCUUCCAUUGUACCAUGAAAACAGCCAGAGACGUCAUAUAACACAUGUAUGUGGCUGUGUCCCAGUACAACUUUACUUACAAAUGCAGACUGCGUCAGACAUGGGCCAUGCAUGGUAGUUUGCCACACCCUGUUUUAGAAAGCUCAGGUUUGUGAUAUGAUGGAGAAUGCCUCUGAGAGCUCUUGUUUUAAAUGGUAGAGUGAACAUACACUGCAGUUCUAUCCUGCUUGACCCAAGCCCGUGAUAGUGCAAAGUAGAAAAGAUAGAUAGUAAAUAGAUAGAUGAUAGGCAGGUAGACAGAUGAUAGAUAAAGAAAAUACAUAGCUGUUCCAGAAAACAGAAAGGGGUAACUUCAUGAGCCAAAAAGAAAGUAAUAUACUUUAGAAAGGAAGCAGGCUGGAAAAUCCACAGUUGCAAAGAGAAUAAAAUUUCCAAUUGCCUCUUUGAGUCCUUUCCUGGAAGUAGCCACAGCCGACUUCCUCCUCUGUUUUUUGUUUGUUGCUUGCUUUCUUGUGGUGUUUUUGUUGUUGUUGUUUGCUAU